UGAGGAUGGUAGGAAGGCUUCUCCAGCAACUUGGCUUCAUGAAGAUUUUCUGCCUCUGGAGCCCCAUGCAGGUGUGUCUGCAGUGAGGACAUUUCAAGCUCCUUUUCUGGUUGCUGCACGCAAGCCCAGCUCCCAUCACAGGGGUCCUCCUAUAGGGAGGAACAAACCUACAGGAGACAAGAGGCUGAGUGAUCUGGAGAGACGCCGUAGUGGGUCCCUGUCCCUCAGCCUCCUCCUG